rnacentral:rRNA from 1 species
UACGGAGGGUGCAAGCGUUGUCCGGAUUUAUUGGGUUUAAAGGGUGCGUAGGUGGCUUGUUAAGUCCGGGGUGAAAGCCCACAGCUCAACUGUGGAACUGCCCUGGAUACUGGCGAGCUUGAGUCCAGACGAGGUUGGCGGAAUGGGAUGCUGUAGCGGUGAAAUGCAUAGAUAGCAUCCAGAACCCCGAUUGCGUAGGCAGCUGACUAGGCUGGUACUGACACUGAGGCACGAAAGCGUGGGGAGCGAACAGG